GUCGGAUACGGGGACGUUUAUCCGCGUUCCCUCAUCGGAAAAAUUUUCGGGAGCAUGUGCGCCAUCGCGGGAGUGCUGACCCUGGCGCUACCCGUGCCUGUUAUCGUGUCCAAU
rfam:Folsomia candida strain VT population Fcan01_Sc024, whole genome shotgun sequence.